rfam:Singulisphaera acidiphila DSM 18658, complete genome.
CGGGGCGUAGCGCAGUUUGGCUAGCGCGCUAGACUGGGGGUCUAGAGGUCGUGGGUUCAAAUCCCGCCGCCCCGA